rnacentral:lncRNA from 1 species
GGCAGCACAGGAGGUGCUGCAGGUCACCAUGAUCCAGUAGGUGUGUAUUUCCUCAGUCUGAUCACCUGCUCCUGCAGGUCCUCCACUGUACUCCAGGUAGUACUCUUAGAACAACAAGUUACAAAGUUAUAGGACAACACAGUUAUAGGACAACACAGGUACAAAGUUAAUGAUAACACAGUUAUAGGACAACACAGUUAUAGGACAUCACAGUUACAGAGUUAUAGGACAACACAGUUAUAGGACAACACAGUAUAGGACAAACACGUUACAAAGUUACGACAACACGUUACAGGACAACACAGUUACGGACAACACAGAACAGUUACAAAGUUACAGGACAACACAGUUACAGGACAUCACAGUUACAGACACACGUUAAAGGACAACACAGUUACAAAGUUAUAUGACAACACAGUUAUAGGACACACAGUUACAAG